rnacentral:rRNA from 1 species
AUGAACGCUGGCGGCGUGCCUAAUACAUGCAAGUCGAGCGAACAGACGAGGAGCUUGCUCCUCUGACGUUAGCGGCGGACGGGUGAGUAACACGUGGAUAACCUACCUAUAAGACUGGGAUAACUUCGGGAAACCGGAGCUAAUACCGGAUAAUAUAUUGAACCGCAUGGUUCAAUAGUGAAAGACGGGUUUGCUGGCACUUAUAGAUGGAUCCGCGCCGCAUUAGCUAGUUGGUAAGGUAACGGCUUACCAAGGCAACGAUGCGUAGCCGACCUGAGAGGGUGAUCGGCCACACUGGAACUGAGACACGGUCCAGACUCCUACGGGAGGCAGCAGUAGGGAAUCUUCCGCAAUGGGCGAAAGCUUGACGGAGCAACGCCGCGUGAGUGAUGAAGGUCUUCGGAUCGUAAAACUCUGUUAUUAGGGAAGAACAAAUGUGUAAGUAACUAUGCACGUCUUGACGGUACCUAAUCAGAAAGCCACGGCUAACUACGUG